CAUUAUCGUAGUUAAGAGGCCAAGAUAUAGGUGACUUAGUUGGGCAAGCCCAUUAAUAUUAGUACAAAAACAAUCUCCCAAGCUUGCAAAAUCCUUGGGGCUCUCUUCAUUUUCAAAUACUCUAGAUGUGUCAAUACCAUUUCAUAUAAGGGUACAUACUACUCUAAAUGUAGAACAAGUAUCCUAGUCUAUGACUAUAAUGUGGGGACUAUGAUGGGGACGAAAUAAAUGGGUCCAUCAAUAAUGACGGGAGGAACCAUAUAAUUUGUAACUCAAGAAUCAAUUGAUCUACUGUGAACUUGAUGACUUGGUUUUUAAUUCUACCACUCACACAGUUUGAGAUAAUAUACAUACAAUAG
rnacentral:lncRNA from 1 species